GUAGGGAAUAUUGGGCAAUGGAGGCAACUCUGACCCAGCCAUGCCGCGUGCAGGAUGACGGCCCUCUGGGUUGUAAACUGCUUUUAGACGGGAAGAAAAAAUACUACGUGUAGUAUACUGACGGUACCGUAAGAAUAAGGAUCGGCUAACUCCGUGCCAGCAGCAGCGGUAAUACGGAGGAUCCAAGCGUUGUCCGGAAUUAUUGGGUUUAAAGGGUGCGUAGGCGGAUCUUUAAGUCAGUGGUGAAAGCCUGCAGCUUAACUGUAGAAUUGCCAUUGAAACUGAAGAUCUUGAAUGUGGUUAAAGUAGGCGGAAUGUAUCAUGUAGCGGUGAAAUGCUUAGAUAUGAUACAGAACACCGAUAGCGAAGGCAGCUUGCUGAACCAUUAUUGACGCUGAGGCACGAAAGCGUGGGGAGCGAACAGGAUUAGAUCCCCUUGUAGUCC
rnacentral:rRNA from 1 species